UAUCUUACCAGCUUAAGGGAAGUGCAGAUUGGUCCCUUUACAGAUGACUCUGUAAUCAAAUUUGAUUGGGCUGGGUUAGCAUCUUCAUCAACACUCCGGUGCGUGUCUUUAUGUGGAAUGCCCGACAUGAAGUCUCUGCCACAUCAGCUUCAAUGCUUGACUACCAUCACAUCACUGUCUCUAGGUGACUUCGGAGCAAUCGAAGCCUUACCAGAAUGGCUUGGGAAUUUUGCAUCUCUUGAAGACCUAAUCCUAUCGGGUUGCCCAAAGCUUGAAUACUUACCCUCCAUGGCCGCCAUGGAACGCCUCAAAUUAAGACGUCUGGAAAUUUGGUUUUGUCCUCUAUUAAAUCGAAGAUGCACUCCUCAAAGCGGCUCCGAGUGGCCCAAGAUCUCUGAUAUUCCGGAGCGUAAAAUUGAUUUUCGGUAUUUCUGAGCCAUCCGGCAACAAGUGUCGGUGAAGCAGCAAGCAAUGACAGUGCUGAAACAUUUGCCUGCAAGCAAUGGAAGGCUCAAAAGCGUGCUCAAGGCACAGUCAGCCUGGAACCUCUAAAGCAUCUUAUUGCACUUUUCACAUUCUCCAACUGCAGCAUCAAGCAAUGGUUUCCAAUCGUUUUUGAAGAAAGAUGAGGAGAAUUUGUUUAGGAAGUAGAGAUCAUGCUUUUUGGACAAAGAACACCAAGGUUCUCGUGUUGUUCUUAUGAGAAUGUCAAGAGGGAGAAGUUGUUUUCACUUAUCAAUCAAGUUUUGAAGAUGGAAGGUAGUUAUCUGUGAUUUUGCCCACCAGAGUGCUAUACAAUUCUCGGAAUGUGGAAAUGAAGCAUGCUGAAAAUAGAGUGGCUUGUGCCAAGCUUGUAGAAAGUAGCAUGGAUGGGGAAGAAUUGGAGGGGAGCAUGGUAGCUGGUAAUGGAGAGCUAUCAAGGUACAAGACUUGCUUGAAGAAAACUGGAUGUGGUGAUACUUUAGUUCCAGAGGUGAGAAGGUUUGAUGGAAAGAAGUUACACUACAACCAAAAAAAAAAUUUCUAGUGACAACAAUUUUUGUCAAGAAAAGUUACAUAUUUUGUCAGGAAAGGUUUUCGUGACGUCAAUAUUGUCAGGGAAUAUUGGUCACUCAUACGCCGUCAGCAAAAGGUUUUCCCGACAACUAGUGAAAUUCUCAUCAAGAAAAGUGUCAUUUUCUGUGAUGCAUCAUCAGGAAAGGUAAUCGUGAUGAUUUGGUCGUUAGGGAAAGACCUCAUAGUCUUGAUGAGCCUUUGUCGGGAAAGACCCUGAACUUUGUGACUAAAGUUUCAAUUGUCAAGAAAAGUCAUGCAUUGAAACUUGCUUAAAAUUUUAAUGACAAUACAAGGUCAUUUUUCCUGACAACAGCCGUAUCACUAUAACAUAUUAAUUUCUAAUUUCACCAUUUAGCUUUUUUAAGCCCAGCAAUUUUAGUGAUAAGAAAGUGACCAUAUCAUCUGUAUAGACACUCCACCCAAUCAAAAUAUAAAAGUAUGCAAGGAAAAUAUCAACCAAAAUUUUACAAAUUAUCAUUAGUAGGCAACCAUAAUAUGUCAAACCACAAAAGUUAACCAUGUCAAACAUUUACAUAUCAUAGCAUUCCACGAUUUGAAACCAAUAUAAAUAUAGCUAUUUCUCCCUAGAUAACUGCCAUAUACCUAACAUAUGCUAAAACCAAAAGAUGGACUUCAAUUCCAUGGUCAACAAAGGGAAGCUGCCAGGGUUACUUUGGAGACAAUGAAAAGGAAAGCAGAGCUUGAACUCGAGGAAAAUCUGAUGAUUCUCAAGGAACUCGAGAUGUUAAGCGAAUGUUCUCCUGUCUACGACCGCUGCGGGUAUCAACCUGUCAUGGUGCUGAGAGUCCUGAAGAAUGGCAACAUUGUGAACCCUUUAGAACAGCUCAGGUUGCGCAUGAGGGAGGAAUUCUUGGAGGAAGCAUAUUUUUGAUUUGGAAAAGCAGAAGAAAGGGUGAUUGUCAAUUAAUGUAGGGUAGCAUUUUCCUCUCUGAAUUCUUGGACUAAUGUAGAGUAGUAUUUUCCUCUGAAUUGUACAGUCCCAAGUAGGUAGGAAGUUCGGAUUGUUGAUAUAGUAAUUUGUUCAUAACUUGAUGUAUUGACAUUGAGACAUGAGACGGUUGUAAAUAAUUUUUUUUCAACAGCCGUAAAUAUUUUUUUUGACGGCUAUAAAUGA